rnacentral:misc_RNA from 1 species
CACAACACGCAUUUUUAGUUUGGCGUGGCAAUGGAUGCUUCCAUGUAGCCAGUCGUAGUUUCUUUUUACUAAAAAUUCUUUUUUUCUUAAUUUGAUGCAACUCUUUUGUUAACAGGUACACGUACAGACAGCAGCAAACCACGCGCCUCCAGGCAUGUCUGCAUGUGUAUUUCCUUGUUGUUACAUGUGAAACGUGAUUCAUCAACGAGACGGCAGUCUGCUACCAUGUGACUAAAUAACAAUAUAAUAUCAACAUAACAUAGAACACAACGUCAAAGACGUGUAUUGGCUACAAAUUUAAACUGAUACAAUAUUCUUGUAUACAAAGUGGCAGUGUUUUUCUUCUGCACCCACGUCGAACGUUUGCCAUAGAAGACCGGUAACCCAACCAGCGAUUUGGGUCGGUAAGACACAGAUUCGUUUACCUGAGUAUUAUAUAACAGACCGGAAUAGUUCGUGAUCUUGAUGAGCCAUUUAUUUGGUGAUGUGGAAAUUUGUUACUGGUUAGAUGGCACUAAAUUAUUUUAAACAAUCUUUCACAGUGAGAAACCUCAUUCUUUGAGAAUCAUCCUUAGUAGGGCUUUAUGAAUGGAACCUGAAGAGGUCAACUGGUGCAGGCAGCUUAUUCAGAAUCUAAGCCAUGGUUUCUUGUAAAACCAGCAACAUUUGUCAGUAGCAGUUUAACCAGUUGCACGAACACAUGCCAUGCAUUUUACGAUGGAGAAUGGGAGUUUCGCAUUGUGUGCGAUAUUUCUUGAACUUGCUUUAUGUUGGGCGUUUGCGAUGUUUGUUGAUUAUACUGGAGAAUCCAUUGGAAUUGUCGUAGAAAGCGAUCUUGAUCGCGUUCGUGGCACUCACACUCGAGACCAUCUUUCAUCAAUUUACUAUUACAUGUUCCAGGAUGUUCACUUGACGAUGGUCAUUGGGUUUGGUUUCCUCGGAACUUUUUUAAAACGAUAUGGUUACAGCUCUGCCGUUCCCAACUUGUUGAUCGCUGCGGUUACCCUCCAAUGGGCGACUCUAUGCCAAGGAUUUUUUCAGAUGCAACGCGGCAAAAUACAUGUCAGCAUUACCAACUUAUUGCAUGCUGAUUUUGCCACGUUAACGACUUUCAUCUCAUUUGGAGCUGUUCUUGAAUUGACCACACCAAUUCAGCUGAUAGUUAUGGUUAUCUGCGAGGUAUUUAUUUUCGCUGCUAAUGAAUACAUAAGUCUUGACAUUCUAAAGAUUUCCGACGUUGGAGUUUCAAUGCUGGUUCACGUUUUUGGAGCUUAUUUCGGCUUGAUGGUGAGCUGUGUCUUGCGAAAUAACAGGCCCGAAAAAGAGAGUGUUUGCAUCACCCUUCCUACUCCGGAUCUUUUCUCUGUGAUGGGAACAAUAUUUCUCUGGCUAUUUUGGCCCACACUGAACGCUAGUUUAGCUCAAGGCGAUGCCCAGCACAGAGCUGUUAUUAACACGUACUAUUCUUUAGCAGCUAGUUCAGUUGUGACUUUGGCCAUCGGCCUCAGUUCUUUCGUGGACAAAAAACAACAGUUCUUCACGGUACAUAUUCAAAACUCAACGUUAGCAGGAGGUGUUGCCAUUGGAACGGCUGCUGACAUGAUGAUUCAUCCGUUUGGUGCAAUCAUUGUAGGAAGUAUCGCUGGACUAGUUUCAAUACUAGGGAUGGUGUACUUAACUCCAGGAAUUAAUCGAAAAUUUGGAAUACGCGAUCCUUGUGGUAUUCAUAACCUCCAUGGUCUAUCCGGACUAAUCGCCGCUUUCGUUGGUGCCAUCGCGGCAGCCCUGGCAACUGAAAAAAAUUACAAUUACAGUCUCUAUCGGCAAUUUCCUGCUAGGACACCAAUGGGUAAAACUUUAGACUACUGGGAUCUCCAAUAUCAUGUAGAAAAUGUUCAACCAGGAGUCGGUCGUUCGGCAUUAUGCCAAGGAGCUUAUCAAAUUGCUGCUUUAGGAACGACUUUAGCAUUUGCUGUUGUCGGUGGACUCGUCACUGGACUCAUCCUCCAGUUACCUUUUUUUAACCAGGCAGGGAGGAAUGCUUUUACUGAUGACGAACCGUAAACUUGUGAUUCCAUUUCGUUUUGUUCCAGCCAAUUUAACGACAAUGUAAAGAAACGAAUAAAUGCAUCUAUACGAAAUACCCUACAAUUUCGGAACAGCAAUAGUUACCAGUAACUCACGCCACAAUAAUAAGCCAUGGAGCCUAUACAAAUCCACAUGCUAUUGUUUCGUUUUUCAUAAGAAAAACAUAGCAGAUCAGCAAUGCACAGAACAUAUAUAUAUAUAUUUUAAAGAAAGGUUAACCGAUAAACUUUUUGACAAAAGAAAUCUUAGUUCUUACUGUCAGACGCUGGAGCUCAGCCUAUUUCAAGGUACUGCCGUGACCCACAGCUUUUGGGGGGGAUGUUAACGUGUCACCCACCACCUCUGCAAACCGAUAAAAUCGUCUAAAAUGAUGCAGGUUCCAAAACAUCAUACGAAGAAAGUUCCAGGGGUUAAAUUAUAACUAGCCAUCACGAGCAAUAAAAGUCAAGCUGAUUACUUACAAUAAAGUGACAGGAGAGCGGUUUUCACGGAAGUUGAAUUUCGGCGUUGUUCCAUCUGAUACGCUUAACGCUGUGCAGCAAAGUUCAGGUUGCUUGGGUGAAGGAUGAACUUUGUACCAAAUUGACAAGGAAAACAGAUUGUAUUGAUGGUAUUGUUGCGGGUUGCCCAUUUCUUCUUCGUACAAGAACAAGAAAAGAAACAAGUGCACGCGUUUUAGGUACAGAAUACAUCGAAAUCGAGUUCAUUGGGAGCUCGGAUACGCUUUACUAGUUUGGAUUCUGCCAACAAGUUACAGUUUCAUUUUAAAUAUAAAUUCAUUGCAUCGUU